AACGAACGCUGGCGGCAGGCUUAACACAUGCAAGUCGAACGGGUGUAGCAAUACAUCAGUGGCGCACGGGUGAGUAACGCGUGGGAAUAUGCACUUUGGUACGGAACAACCUCGGGAAACUGAGGCUAAUACCGUAUAAUAUCUGCGGAUCAAAGAUGUAUCGCCAAAGGAUUAGCCCGCGUUGGAUUAGGUAGUUGGUGAGGGAACGGAUCACCAAGCCGACGGUCCAUAGCUGGUCUGAGAGGAUGAUCAGCCACACUGGGACUGAGACACGGCCCAGACUCCUACGGGAGGCAGCAGUGAGGAAUAUUGGACAAUGGAGGAAACUCUGAUCCAGCCAUGCCGCGUGAGUGAUGAAGGCCUUCGGGUUGUAAAGCUCUUUUACCCCUGACGAUAAUGACGGUAAGGGGAGAAAAAGCCACGGCUAACUUCGUGCCAGCAGCCGCCGUAA
rnacentral:rRNA from 1 species